rnacentral:rRNA from 1 species
GAUGAACGCUGGCGGCGUGCCUAAUACAUGCAAGUCGAGCGAACGGACGAGAAGCUUGCUUCUCUGAUGUUAGCGGCGGACGGGUGAGCAACACGUGGAUAACCUACCUAUAAGACUGGGAUAACUUCGGGAAACCGGAGCUAAUACCGGAUAAUAUUUUGAACCGCAUGGUUCAAAAGUGAAAGACGGUCUUGCUGUCACUUAUAGAUGGAUCCGCGCUGCAUUAGCUAGUUGGUAAGGUAACGGCUUACCAAGGCAACGAUGCAUAGCCGACCUGAGAGGGUGAUCGGCCACACUGGAACUGAGACACGGUCCAGACUCCUACGGGAGGCAGCAGUAGGGAAUCUUCCGCAAUGGGCGAAAGCCUGACGGAGCAACGCCGCGUGAGUGAUGAAGGUCUUCGGAUCGUAAAACUCUGUUAUUAGGGAAAAACAUAUGUGUAAGUAACUGUGCACAUCUUGACGGUACCUAAUCAGAAAGCCACGGCUAACUACGUG